rnacentral:rRNA from 1 species
UACGUAGGGGGCAAGCGUUGUCCGGAUUCAUUGGGCGUAAAGAGCGUGUAGGCGGCCAGGUAGGUCGGUUGUGAAAACUGGAGGCUCAACCUUCAGAGGUCGACCGAAACCAUCUGGCUAGAGUCCGGGAGAGGAGAGUGGAAUUCCUGGUGUAGCGGUGGAAUGCGUAGAGAGUCCGGAAGAACACCGGUGGCGAAGGCGGCCUGCUGGGCAGUUAGCUGACACUGAGGCGCGACAGCGUGGGGAGCAAACAGG